rnacentral:rRNA from 1 species
GACGAACGCUGGCGGCGUGCUUAACACAUGCAAGUCGAACGGAAAGUCCCCUUUGGGGGUCCUCGAGUUGCGAACGGGUGAGUAACACGUGAUUAACCUGCCCUUGACUUCCGGAUAACUUCAGGAAACUGGGGCUAAUACCUGAUAGGAAUCCUUUCUGCAUUUUGGGUGUUGGAAAGCUUCGGCGGUUUUGGAUGGACUCGCAGCUUAUCAGCUUGUUGGUGGGGUAGUGGCUUACCAAGGCUUUGACGGGUAGCCGGCCUGGGCGGGCGACCGGCCACAUUGGGACGGAGAUGAGGCCCGGACUCCUACGGGAGGCAGCAGUGGGGAAUAGUGCACAAUGGGCGGAAGCCUGAUGCAGCAACGCCGCGUGCGGGAUGACGGCCUUCGGGUUGUAAACCGCUUUCAGCAGGGGCGAAGCUUUUGUGACGGUACCUGCAGAAGAAGCACCGGCUAACUACGUG